ensembl:lncRNA
GACUAAAAUAGUAUGCGGAAUAAUCCCCACAAAGCCUUGCGGCACAACUUGAAAAGCGCCUCUUUCGGUUGUUCGGCCUACCAUUUAUUUCUUUAGUAUGGAUUUUUUGGAUCCACUUCAAAUAAGGUCUGUGUUUGAUGUAGGCUUACAUCAUCUCGCCAUUUCCAUAACCAUGUAAAUAUCUACAGGACAAGUUGACUUUUAUCAAUAUUGGCUAAAUAUAGCAAAGAUGUUGACAAAUGUCACCUUGUCCUAAACAUAUACAUACGGUUGUCGAAACGCUUAGUUAGCCUAAGCAAAACAGGACUUAUUUGAAACGGUUCCAAAAUUCCUAAUGGAAUAAAUGAACGGUGAAAUGCGAAAAGAAGCUCUAUCACGACUAUUUCAGUCUAUUCAUUGCUGAAAGCGGUGUCUGUAUUUGAAUUUUCUCCUUCGCUGUUUUAUCACUUUUUAGUAUAACAACGACCCAACCAAAAUAGACAAAAGAAACUCAUCUGGAAGACACAAUCUACUGAGCGUGAAUACUCCAAAAAUACCAAACUAUUUGUAAGUUGUUAACCUGUUGCUAGUUUUGAAACCAAUCUGAAACUAUGGAGUCCCAGCAGAGAGCCGUUGCUGUGUCUGAGUGCUUUGUCAGUAAGCAGAUGUUCCUUUGUUCAGCUCCACAGCACUUCACAGUAUAAAGUUGGAUCAGUUGUAGUUGUGAUUCGGGACACUUGCUGCAUCUUUUGAAUUUUGUCCCAUUGAAGAUCUCCAUCCCCCUGCAUACCCUCAAGCUACUCACAGGGACGUUAACCCCUCCCCCAUCCCCUUUAACCCCCUGCAGACCCCAUAGUUGUCACCAAGGCUCUCUUUGGUUACCCUGUUCUUUGUCCCUACAAUGAAGCGACAGCAGACCCUCACUAAUCUCUCCCCCACCACCAGCAUGCACGCAAUGGCUAAUUAUCAAACGGAUGGAGAGGGAGUGGCGGUAGAAGCGGGGGAAAUACAGUAGACAGGCAUGAAGACAGACAUACCAGAGAGAGAACAAGUGGUUGAGCACUGAACAUAAAGCCUGACAACUGUUGUGCCCUGCUCUGGCUACCAAUCCCAGUCUCUGCCGGUCCUGCCUCUGCUCAAAACUGUCAAACAGUUUUAACAGUAGCUGAACAUGUGUGGUGCUGUAGAACCAGCAUGACCACUAUAGCUGUAAAAGAACAGCACAUUCCCUGUUUAUGUAAUAAUCAAUGCCCUCCUCUCUGUCUCUGUCAGAGAGCUGCAGUAGCUAUGUUUCUAGCCAUGGGAAAACACAGUAGAGGCAGCUCACACUUCCUGUUUUUGAAUAGGGCCUCUCAGAGGCAGGAAGUACAGGGAACAGCUGGACUGUGGUCUCUCUGUGUUGAGGACUUCUACUAACUAUUGGGUAAUUUUAGAUUUUCAAGUUGGAAACACCAGCAACAUAUUCCUGGCUUUUUGAUUUUUUUUAUUGCACUGCAGCACAUUACAUUUUUCACUGUUUUAAAACAGAUAUCUCUAAAUGUAAGGGUCUUUACAAGGUGCUUCAGUCGAAGGGACAGCAUUUACCACCGCAAUGUAAGAAUGACCCUGUUGUCUGUGCCCUGCAAACCUUUGUUCUGCCCCCACACUGGCGCCUAGUCCCCGCCCACUGGCCUACUGCUGUGACAGAGCGUGAUCUCUCUAUCCAUCUCGCGCCAAAACAAAGAGGGUAUGCUAGCGUCUUCCUCUCUUCCCCUUCCUCCUAGAUGCUGCGUCUGGCAUGUUGCCAGGGCAACCUGGAGUAGGUGAAGUAGUAGUAGAAAAGCUCCUGGUUGCCCCUACUGCAGUCCCCUCUGCCUGUCUGGCUGUAUGUCUGUCUCCUUUCGUCACCAGCAUUUCCCGCCACUCUGGGGGGAGGAGCCGCCUACGGUCAAGAUAAAGAAGGCUGGUGCCGGCAUCUUUUAAAUCAGUGGGUGUGGCUCCAACUUCCCCCUCAUUUCAUUAACCCCUGCACACCACUAGAGGGCUAUGAGCUUGGAUAAAGGUCCCUAAAAGCACUUGUGGUUUCACUCUGAAUUACAGCCUCUUGUAGUCUGACACUGUGGGUAGGUUUCCUCAAUUUCAUUUAAGAAUAGACCCCUGAGUCUGUAAAUUCUUAUUUUGUUUGGGCAUAGUGAAUCUAAUUGUUGUAAUAUUUGUCUACGUUUGGAGUUUUUCAUACAAUUUUCAGGGUGUAAAAAUAAUUGCAAUAUGAUUUAACUUUAAUGUGUUAUGGACUGUAUUUACCUACAUUGUUUUGCUAAUUUUUACCUAAUAAUUUACCAAAAG